UUGCGGCUGCUACCAUGCAAGUCGAACGGGAACCCUUGGAUUCGUCUGAGGGGGAGAGUGGCGAACGGGUGAGUAAUACGUAGGUGACCUGCCCCGAAGAGGGGGAUAACCACUGGAAACGGUGGCUAAUACCCCAUGUGAUCUAUUGGUCGGACAGUAGAUUAAAGCUCCGGCGCUUCGGGAGGGGCCUGCGGCCCAUCAGGUAGUUGGUAGGGUAAUGGCCUACCAAGCCAAUGACGGGUAGGGGGCGUGAGAGCGUGAUCCCCCACACUGGCACUGAGAUACGGGCCAGACUCCUACGGGAGGCAGCAGUGAGGAAUAUUGCCCAAUGGACGAAAGUCUGAGGCAGCAACGCCGCGUGGGCGAUGAAGGCCUUCGGGUUGUAAAGCCCUUUUCUGGGGGACGAGUGAGGACGGUACCCCAGGAAUAAGUCACGGCUAACUACGUGCCAGCAGCCGCGGUAAUACGUAGGUGGCGAGCGUUAUCCGGAUUUAUUGGGCGUAAAGCGCGUGCAGGCGGCUUCGUAAGUCGGACGUGAAAGCUCCUGGCUUAACUGGGAGAGGUCGUUCGAUACUGCGGGGCUUGAGGUCGGGAGAGGGACGUGGAAUUCCCGGUGUAGUGGUGGAAUGCGUAGAGAUCGGGAGGAACACCAGUGGCGAAGGCGGCGUCCUGGCCCGCACCUGACGCUAAGACGCGAAAGCGUGGGUAGCGAACGGGAUUAGAUACCCCGGUAGUCCACGCUGUAAACGGUGGAUACUAGGUGUUGGUGGCUAUCGUCAUCAGUGCCGUAGCUAACGCGUUAAGUAUCCCGCCUGGGGAC
rnacentral:rRNA from 1 species